rnacentral:rRNA from 1 species
UACCGGGAGGCGACAGUAGGGAAUCUUCCGCAAUGGGCGCAAGCCUGACGGAGCAACGCCGCGUGAGUGAGGAAGGUCUUCGGAUCGUAAAACUCUGUUGUUAGGGAAGAACACGUACGAGAGUCACUGCUCGUACCUUGACGGUACCUAACCAGAAAGCCACGGCUAACUACGUGCCAGCAGCCGCGGUAAUAUCUGCC